CUUUUGAAAGGUCUCCAACUACCCAUGAAAGACCCCCGGAGUGGGGAGACCCUCACUCAAGUCUCGGGAUGACGCAACCCCCCAAGAACUCACACAAGACC
rnacentral:pre_miRNA from 14 species